rnacentral:ncRNA from 1 species
ACAUUCCGACAGGGGAGCGCCACAGCGCUGAGAGUGCGGAGACGUCGUAGCCCUACGGCGCCCGCAGACCCUUGAACCUCGCCCGGGUCAUUCCGGGUAGGAAGUUCGGUCGUCACUCAUG